rnacentral:misc_RNA from 1 species
AACGCACAUUGCGCCCUCUGGUAUUCCGGAGGGCAUGCCUGUUCGAGCGUCAUUUCAACCCUCAAGCCUGGCUUGGUGUUGGGGCACCGCCUGUAAAAGGGCGGGCCCUGAAAUCUAGUGGCGAGCUCGCCAGGACCCCGAGCGUAGUAGUUUAUAUCUCGUUCUGGAAGGCCCUGGCGGUGCCCUGCCGUUAAACCCCCAACUUCUGAAAUUUUGACCUCGGAUCAGGUAGGAAUACCCGCUGAACUUAA